rnacentral:snRNA from 1 species
GUGCUUGCUUCGGACGCACAAGUACUAGAAGUGGAACAAGGCAGAGAUUAGCAUGGCCCCUGUGCAAGGAUGACACGCAAAUUCGUGUCUUGUUUUU